rnacentral:rRNA from 1 species
GACGUAGGAUGCAAGCGUUGUCCGGAUUUAUUGGGCGUAAAGAGUUCGUAGGCUGUUUGUUAAGUCUGAUGUUAAAGACUGGGGCUCAACCUCGGAAAUGCAUUGGAUACUGGCAGACUGGAGUGCAGUAGAGGCUAGUGGAAUUCCCAGUGUAGCGGUGAAAUGCGUAGAUAUCAGGAAGAACACCCGUGGCGAAGGCGGCUUUCUGGGACGGUACUGACGCUGAGACGCGAAAGCGUGGGGAGCGAACAGG